rnacentral:rRNA from 1 species
CCUAAGGUAGCGAAAUUCCUUGUCGGGUAAGUUCCGACCCGCACGAAUGGUGUAACGAUCUGGGCACUGUCUCAACUACCCACCCGGCGAAAUUGUAGUACCGGUGAAGAUGCCGGUUACCUGCGGCAAGACGGAAAGACCCCAUGGAGCUUUACUGUAGCCUGAUAUUGGGUUUCGGAAAUCUAUGUACAGGAUAGGCGGGAGACUGGGAAACAUGAGCGUCAGCUUGUGUGGAGUCGAUGUUGGGAUACCGCCCUUAGGUUUCUGGAAUUCUAACCUGCGGCCGUGAAUCCGGUCGGGGGACAUUGUCAGGUGGGCAGUUUGACUGGGGCGGUCGCCUCCGAAAAGGUAACGGAGGCGCUCAAAGGUUAGCUCAGCACGGACGGAAACCGUGCCUCUGAGUGUAAACGCAAAAGCUAGCCUAACUGCGAGGGUGACGGCCCGAGCAGUAACGAAAGUUGGAGUUAGUGAUCCGGCGGUAUGUGAAUGGAAAUGCCGUCGCUCAACGGAUAAAAGCUACCCUGGGGAUAACAGGCUGAUCUCCCCCAAGAGUCCACAUCGACGGGGAGGUUUGGCACCUCGAUGUCGGCUCAUCACAUCCUGGGGCUGUAUUCGGUCCCAAGGGUUCGGCUGUUCGCCGAUUAAAGUGGUACGCGAGCUGGGUUCAGAACGUCGCGAGACAGUUCGGUCCCUAUCUGUCGUGGGCGCAGGAUAUUUGAGGAGCUCUGUCCUUAGUACGAGAGGACCGGGAUGGACGUACCUCUGGUGCACCAGUUGUCAUGCCAAUGGCACGGCUGGGCAGCUAUGUACGGAACGGAUAAACGCUGAAAGCAUCUAAGCGUGAAGCCGACUCCAAGAUUAGAUAUCCCAUCGUAUAACGAGUAAGACCCCUUGAAGACUACGAGGUUGAUAGGCUGCGUGUGUAAGUGCCGUGAGGCAUUCAGCUUGGCAGUACUAAUAGGUCGAGGGCUUGACCAC